rnacentral:rRNA from 1 species
AUUGAACGCUGGCGGCAUGCCUUACACAUGCAAGUCGAACGGUAACGGGCCUUCGGGUGCCGACGAGUGGCGAACGGGUGGGUAAUACAUCGGAACGUGCCCGAUCGUGGGGGAUAACGAGGCGAAAGCUUUGCUAAUACCGCAUACGAUCUACGGAUGAAAGCAGGGGACCGCAAGGCCUUGCGCGGACGGAACGGCCGAUGGCAGAUUAGGUAGUUGGUGGGAUAAAAGCUUACCAAGCCGACGAUCUGUAGCUGGUCUGAGAGGAUGAUCAGCCACACUGGGACUGAGACACGGCCCAGACUCCUACGGGAGGCAGCAGUGGGGGAUUUUGGACAAUGGGCGCAAGCCUGAUCCAGCCAUGCCGCGUGCAGGAUGAAGGCCUUCGGGUUGUAAACUGCUUUUGUACGGAACGAAAAGCCUUCUUUUAAUACAGGAGGGUCAUGACGGUACCGGAAGAAUAAGCACCGGCUAACUACGUG